UACUAGAGUAGCACUCGCAUAUCAAUAAGCGGAGGAAAAGAAACUAACAAGGAUUCCCCUAGUAACGGCGAGUGAAGCGGGAAGAGCUCAAAUUUGAAAUCUUAAAGGGUUUCCCUUUACGAAUUGUAGUUUAAAGAAGUGUUUUCUGUUGAGGUUUUGGUAAAAGUUCUUUGGAAUAGGACAUCAUAGAGGGUGAGAAUCCCGUAUUUGACCUUUACUUUCAACUUUGUGAUACACUUUCAAAGAGUCGGAUUGUUUGGGAAUGCAGUCCAAAAUGGGUGGUAAAUUUCAUCUAAAGCUAGAUAUUGGCGAGAGACCGAUAGCGAACAAGUACCGUGAGGGAAAGAUGAAAAGAACUUUGAAAAGAGAGUUAAACAGUACGUGAAAUUGUCAAAAGGGAAGCGUUUGACACCAGUGUUGUUUUUCUGAAAAUCAAUUAAAGAACUGUUUAUGCUAAGUUGUUUAGACUUUAUCAGCUAUCUGUUUAGUUUUAGGCUUUUCUUUAAUGCACUUUUCAGUUAACAAGUCAACAUCAAUUUCUUUUGCUGUAAAAAAGCUUGAGGAAGGUGGCUUGAGAUUCGUCUUAAGUGUUUAUAGCCUCUUGCCUAUGCAGUCGGAGAGAUUGAGGUCUGCAGCGUAGAUCCUUCGGGGCUAAAUGCAUUUGUGCUAAGUUAUAGCAUUUUAUAGACAACUUGUUGACUAUGAUUUGUCUUGUAGCUUACUCGCUUAUGUUAUUUUACCUACGCUUAGGAUGUUGAGCGCAUGUCUCUCUCU
rnacentral:rRNA from 1 species